CCAGAACAUGUACACAAGACAUGAGGGAAACAAGAACAGGACAUGGACAGGGCAGGACUGUACAUGAACUGGGAACACAAGACAAAAUAAAACAAGACAAGAGAUGCAAGGCAAAACAAGAGGAGAAAUAACCAAGUACUGUAUAUGUAAUAAACAUUGGAGAUUUAGAUUCAUACAUAAAUGGCCAAGAUGUAUGCUUCCCACCACUGAGCCAAAGUACUCCAAUACGG